CGCAGGUGAGAGCUGUGGCGGAGGGAUAUGCAGAUACACAGCGAGCAGAGGGAUGAACAACAGAGCCACGUGAAGCCACCACUCCCUGCUGACACGACGGACCGAUCCGCACUCGCCUUCAUUCCGCUGCAGACAGAAUUAGAGAUGUUUGGACGUUACACCCAGCCGACAGAAGCAUGUGGACCGACAUCGGCUGUAAUGAUGGACAUCUGCUCAUAAGGCGGACCUGGUGCGGCCUCCACUUCAAAAUCACACCAUUAAAAGCGUGAAGACUCCAGCUCCAGCCAUUUCAGAUACUCUUUAACUUCCAAAC